rnacentral:rRNA from 1 species
GACGAACGCUGGCGGCGUGCUUAACACAUGCAAGUCGAACGGAAAGGCCCUGCUUUUGUGGGGUGCUAGCGUGGCGAACGGGUGAGUAACCCGUGAGUAACCUGCCCUUUACUUUGGGAUAACUUCAGGAAACUGGGGCUACUACAGGAUAGGAGCUCCUGCUGCAUGGUGGGGGUUGGAAAGUUUCGUCGGUUGGGGAUGGACUCGCGGCUUAUCAGCUUGUUGGUGGGGUAGUGGCUUACCAAGGCUUUGACGGGUAGCCGGCCUGAGAGGGUGACCGGCCACAUUGGGACUGAGGGACGGCCCAGAGUCCUACGUGAGGCAGCAGUGGGGAAUAUUGCACAAUGGUCGGAAGCCUGAUGCAGCAACGCCGCGUGCGGGAUGACGGCCUUCGGGUUGUAAACCGCUUUAGCCUGUGACGAAGCGUGAGUGACGGUAAUGGGUAAAGAAGCACCGGCUAACUACGUG